CUUAAUGAUUGUGUCAACCUCAUCGACUCUCUUCCCAAUGUAAUAUGGUUCUUUGCUGCUCUUUAAAUGAAACCACAAACUCAAAGUUUCUUUAAGAUGCCCAAAAGGAUACCAUGCAUGUAAUAUUACGCAGUUUACCAUAAUUACUUGAACAUAGAAUGUCUAGAUCUACUUGGCAUUGAAACAACAAUUUCGUGGACUUUCAGGGGG
rnacentral:lncRNA from 1 species